AUUAUAGAGGCGCGACUUACGAAGAGUACCCUGCCACAGAUGCUCAAACAUCGUUCAAAGCAGACGGAAAGGCGCAGUCGCCGAAGCCCGAUACGGUUUGAGACGUAUUCCCGCUGGACGUAUGGAAAAUAUCCAUCCGGCUGUCGCAUAUCACGUGCGGAGUGCUAUU
rnacentral:ncRNA from 1 species